UAUAUAUAGUUUUACUCCAAUAGAAACCUCCUUAUCCUAGAAACUAAAAACCAAGCUGAAAUAUCACUAAAUCCUAAAGCAAAUACCACUAAAUUCUUAAACAACCCCAUCUCCACCUUCAUCUUCACCAAACCCACUUCCAUCUUCACCAACCCCACCUCCACUACCACCACCUCCGUCGUCGCCUCCUUCAUAACCACUACUACCUCUAUGCCGCCCGCCCCCUCCAUAACCACCACCUCCAUCUCCACCUCCACCUCCACCUCUAUUAUUUCCCUAACAACACAACCUCCACACCUCCAUCUUCACCAACCCCAUCUUAAUAGAUGCUUCAACCUCCUUCAACUUCGUUCAUACUUCUUUCUCCACCCCGACUCAACUUCAAACGCGAAGCCGCCACUAUUCCGGCAACACUCCAACCCCCCACUUCAAGCCGCCCAAACCUCCGCUAGAAUCAUCCUUCCUCCAUCUCCACCUUCACCUCCACCAUCUCCACCACUAUCACCACCAUCUGAAUCGAAAACAUGAACAGAUCUGGAGAUUCUAAGCUGGAACAUAUCUGGAGAUUAAGUUUUCACUAAUUCCUGCAACACAGAUCACUAAAUCCCAAGGAGAAUAUCACUAAAUUGUACUGAGAAUAUCACUAACUUGUAUUGGUUUCUAGUUUUUAUUUUAAUAUUGGUUUCUAUUUGAUCAUGAGCCUAUAUAUAUAUAGGGUGCUAAUCUUGUACAAACUGUUUUAUUGUACAAACUACAAACUAGGCCCAACCCGACAACUUAGCUCUCGGCCCAGUUAGCGUUCGGCCCACUUUCUGAUUACAACACGACUACGACUAGUCUGAAAAAACAAAAAAGAAAUUUAAAUACAGACAGAAGAAACCAUAGACAGGCAUAUAGACACAAAACAGUUACACUCAUCGCUCCUCUUACUGUUCAUCUCUCUCAAACACAAGGUAUAAUCACUGCUAAACUUGCUUCUAAUUUUCGAUUUCUCACCGUUUUUGCAAUUAUUACAUGUUUAACUCGUUCGUUUUGAACAUAUUUUGCAAAAACAGGGGAAAUCGCAGUGGAGAUCAGCCUCGUACUCAAUCGGAACGAUAUCAGCUUCAAAUUCUUCAAAUAGGUACAAUACUAUAUUCCGAGUCUCGUAUUGUAGUUAUAACUUUGUUACUUUGUGAUUGCAUGUUAGUGCGAGUCAGUUUUUUAGGGUUUUAGUAAUCGAUCUUAUGAAAAACUAACAUAUAAUGUUUAUGUGUUCUCAUAGCAGCAACUAGUUGUCUAUAUAACUCUGAAAGCAAAAAAUUAUGGCUAGGACUAGAGGAGGUAUGUUAUUUAGGGUUUUGUAAUUUUUUGUUUUUAUUUUGCUUAAUUUGUGCUGUUAUUACUGCUCUUAUUUAUGUAGAAAUUGUUUCCUCUUUGAUUUGCAUUAUAUAUGAUUUAUGAUUUGAUUUCGUGUUGAAUACUGAUUAGAGUUUAUAAUGUUUAUGAUUUAUGAUUACUGAUUAGAGUUUACGAUUAGAAAUGUUUAUGGUAUUUUGGACCAUAUAGAAUAUUGGAGUCUGGUUGAUACAUUAGAUUUGUGUACGUAUGUAUAAUUGUGUAGUUAGCUGCAUAUAUUGUACUCUAGUUAGCUGCAUACUCUGUAGUUAGCUAAAUAUAGUCAUAAAUAAAAAACAUGAUACAGGUGCAGCUAGAUAUAGUACUCUUUAUGUAUAAUUUGUGAUUGAUGUAUAAAAUAUUAAUGGUUGAUGCUUUAUAAAUUAGAGAUUAAUGCCUAAUAUAAUUGUGUUUGCAGAUGUAUGCUAAUAUAAAAUAUUAAUAUAAUUGUGUUUGCAGAUGCCUAAUAUAAAAUAUUAAUGGUUGAUGCUUUAUAAAUUAGAGAUUAAUGCCUAAUAUAACAUUAGACCUGUGUACAUGUGUAUAAUUGUGUUUGCAGAUGUAUGCUAAGAAAUAAAUGGUGGGGGAUUUGUUGUUCUGUGUUGUGCAUAAAAUCCUUCGUCUCUCUUGUGUGUAAAGUAUAUAUGAUUAGUGACUCUCUCAUGUCCACAUUGCAUAUAAUACUAUUGUUUAUCUUCUGGAAUUACAUAUUAUGGUACAUCUCUGUUCAUAUCUAGAUAGCAUUAAGUUGCAUCUAGCCACGUAUCCCUCUGGCCACGUAUCCAUAACGGGGUGGGACUGAUUUGUACCUUGUAGCGUGGCGAGGCAUGAGAGACAAAAGGGGUGUGUGUUGCCCCCUGCUGAAGUUGACUCUUAUCAUUAUACACAUAAGAUUGUUCUAAUUAUUACUACUAGGCAUUAUCCACACCUUAAUCUUCUGUCUUUCAAUGUAUGUUCACCAUCAUAAUCAGAUUUCAUCAAUUACUUAAUCAUGAUAUUAUUUGGUAGUUUUUUAUUUAUAAAUUACUAAUUAUAUGAUUAAUGCCUUAUAAAUUAGUGAUUACUAAUAUAUGCAUCGAUAUUUUUUAGAAACUAUCCACUCUUGCUUCAAGUUUUAUUAGUGAUUAACAUAUUUGAUGUUGGUAUUAUAUUCGUUUAUGGCUUUCUAGAAAAAAUAAUAUUACUAGUUCAAUAGCUAUGUACAUAUAUUCUUUACUUAACGCCUCUGCAAGAAAAAAAAUUCAGGACAUAGAGUGCAACUGCGAAGAAGUUCAAGACUACAACGUUGUAAGACAACCUUCAGCAAUACAAUAAACGAUCCAAUUAACCUUGAAGAAUCUCCAGUUGAUAGGACUAUGGAACAUGACGAGCACACCAGUACUCCGAACAAAUCUGAAGGAAGUGCACCAGAAAAAUUUAAGCGAUUACGGCACAAAGUGACAGCUGGAAAACUAUUUCACUCUGAUGUGUAUAUCUCUACUCUGUAAUUUGUCUUUUCUGAUUAUUAUAAAUACACUUCUUGCUUCCAUAUUAUAAACUUCUUGAUUAUUAUAAAGUGACAUGAGAGAUUGUCUACCUCUUGUUUUCAUAUUCACUAAAUUAAAAACAUUGGCUGAUUUUAAGUUGUCAAUUUUGUGACAGGAGGAUGAGCAAGAGUCAUAUUCAAUUCUAGAAUUAUAUAGGACUGAAUAUGAAGCUGGACAACUUGAAAAGCAAGCUGCACAACUUGAAAAUCAAGCUGACAAACUCAACCACAAGAUCAAGCAGCACAAACUCAACCACAUGAUCAAGCUCCACAAGAUCAAGAUACAGAACCACAAGAUCAAGCUGCACAAGAUCAAGAUACAGAACCACAAGAUCACAAUCAAGCUGAAGAUGAUCGAGAUCACAAUCAAGAUGAACAGGAAUCUCAAGAAGAAGCUCAAAAUGAACAUGAAUCUCAAAAUGAACAAAAAGCUGACAAUGUAAAAGUUAGGAAGUGGAAAAGAAAAAAGACUGAAGGGGUACAUACUUUAUUUCAAUUUAGUAUCUUAUACUUUUAGUAUAUUAGUGAUCUCAAUACUUUUGAUAUUGUACACUUUUAGUAUAUUUAGAUUUUGUAAUCACUAAUAUAUUAGUGAUAUAAAAGUAUGUUAUACUUUUAGUAUAUUAAGAUUUCUUGAUAUAUAUGUGAUCUCAUACUUUUAGUAUCUUAUAUUUUUAGUAUAUUAGUGAUCAC
rnacentral:lncRNA from 1 species